CACGCUGUAAACGAUGAAUACUAGGUGUUGGGGGCUAAGCCCUCAGUGCCGCAGUUAACACAUUAAGUAUUCCGCCUGGGGAGUANACGCGAAGAACCUUACCAAGGCUUGACAUCCUAAGAAUCCUAAAGAGAUUUGGGAGUGCCCUUCGGGGAACUUAGAGACAGGUGG
rnacentral:rRNA from 1 species